ACAGUGUUAGUGGAGGAAUGAGAAGGAAGAGAGCUACUGCAUGGAAACUGUUGAAUGUUUACCACUGGGGAGAUUUAAGUGAGUACCAGAUAUCAAUGUGAUUUGUUUUCUAAACUCUAGAGGGAAACUGAGUCCCUGGAAAGGCCCAGCAGAGAUGGAUCCAAACAAGCUUUCAAUGGAAGAGGGCAGGCAGUUCCUUAAACAGUGUGGGAUCCCACAAAGAUAUAUCGAUGCAAUGACCGAGAAAUGGGUAGUUGUUGCCUCUGUGGAGGUUUUAAUUCGAUUCCCUCUGCUGCCAGGGGAGGACCCCACAGCUCAUUGUAUUUCCAAUAAAAAGAGUCAGCCUGCAGUGUCCCAACCAAAUCUAAUCCCUCAAAAUAAUGAAAAUCAAGAAAAGAG
rnacentral:lncRNA from 1 species